GGUUAAGCGACUAAGCGUACACGGUGGAUGCCCUGGCAGUCAGAGGCGAUGAAGGGCGUGCUAAUCUGCGAUAAGCGCCGGUAAGGUGAUAUGAACCGUUAUAACCGGCGAUACCCGAAUGGGGAAACCCAGUGUGAUUCGUCACACUAUCAUUAACUGAAUCCAUAGGUUAAUGAGGCGAACCGGGGGAACUGAAACAUCUAAGUACCCCGAGGAAAAGAAAUCAACCGAGAUUCCCCCAGUAGCGGCGAGCGAACGGGGAGGAGCCCAGAGCCUGAAUCAGCAUGUGUGUUAGUGGAAGCGUCUGGAAAGGCGCGCGAUACAGGGUGACAGCCCCGUACACAAAAGCGCAUGUGCUGUGAGCUCGAUGAGUAGGGCGGGACACGUGGUAUCCUGUCUGAAUAUGGGGGGACCAUCCUCCAAGGCUAAAUACUCCUGACUGACCGAUAGUGAACCAGUACCGUGAGGGAAAGGCGAAAAGAACCCCGGCGAGGGGAGUGAAAAAGAACCUGAAACCGUGUACGUACAAGCAGUGGGAGCCCCACCACUAAGCCAGUGGUGAACUCCACAUCCGCAUCCUUUGCUGAGGAUACGGUUAACGGAGCGAAAGCGACGUUCAACCGCAAAACAAGCAGAGGGGGCUUAGUGGUGGGGUGACUGCGUACCUUUUGUAUAAUGGGUCAGCGACUUAUAUUCUGUAGCAAGGUUAACCGAAUAGGGGAGCCGGAGGGAAACCGAGUCUUAAUUGGGCGUUAAGUUGCAGGGUAUAGACCCGAAACCCGGUGAUCUAGCCAUGGGCAGGUUGAAGGUUGGGUAACACUAACUGGAGGACCGAACCGACUAAUGUUGAAAAAUUAGCGGAUGACCUGUGGCUGGGGGUGAAAGGCCAAUCAAACCGGGAGAUAGCUGGUUCUCCCCGAAAGCUAUUUAGGUAGCGCCUCGUGAAUUCAUCUCCGGGGGUAGAGCACUGUUUCGGCUAGGGGGCCAUCCCGGCUUACCAACCCGAUGCAAACUGCGAAUACCGGAGAAUGUUAUCACGGGAGACACACGGCGGGUGCUAACGUCCGUCGUGAAGAGGGAAACAACCCAGACCGCCAGCUAAGGUCCCAAAGUCAUGGUUAAGUGGGAAACGAUGUGGGAAGGCCCAGACAGCCAGGAUGUUGGCUUAGAAGCAGCCAUCAUUUAAAGAAAGCGUAAUAGCUCACUGGUCGAGUCGGCCUGCGCGGAAGAUGUAACGGGGCUAAACCAUGCACCGAAGCUGCGGCAGCGAACGUAUCACUUAAAGCGAUUCAGCGGGUUACGAUUGACGGAGCGAAGCGACGUCAAAGCGUAUACAAAGUCGAGUCGGUUUAAGGAUACGUUCGUUGGGUAGGGGAGCGUUCUGUAAGCCCGUGAAGGUGGCCUGUGAGGGUUGCUGGAGGUAUCAGAAGUGCGAAUGCUGACAUAAGUAACGAUAAAGCGGGUGAAAAGCCCGCUCGCCGGAAGACCAAGGGUUCCUGUCCAACGUUAAUCGGGGCAGGGUGAGUCGACCCCUAAGGCGAGGCCGAAAGGCGUAGUCGAUGGGAAACGGGUUAAUAUUCCCGUACUUGGUGUUACUGCGAAGGGGGGACGGAGAAGGCUAUGUUGGCCGGGCGACGGUUGUCCCGGUUUAAGCGUGUAGGUGUGUGUUCCAGGUAAAUCCGGUUCACUUUAACACUGAGGCGUGAUGACGAGGCACUACGGUGCUGAAGCAACAAAUGCCCUGCUUCCAGGAAAAGCCUCUAAGCAUCAGGUAACAUCAAAUCGUACCCCAAACCGACACAGGUGGUCAGGUAGAGAAUACCAAGGCGCUUGAGAGAACUCGGGUGAAGGAACUAGGCAAAAUGGUGCCGUAACUUCGGGAGAAGGCACGCUGACACGUAGGUGAAGUGAUUUACUCACGGAGCUGAAGUCAGUCGAAGAUACCAGCUGGCUGCAACUGUUUAUUAAAAACACAGCACUGUGCAAACACGAAAGUGGACGUAUACGGUGUGACGCCUGCCCGGUGCCGGAAGGUUAAUUGAUGGGGUCAGCGCAAGCGAAGCUCCUGAUCGAAGCCCCGGUAAACGGCGGCCGUAACUAUAACGGUCCUAAGGUAGCGAAAUUCCUUGUCGGGUAAGUUCCGACCUGCACGAAUGGCGUAAUGAUGGCCAGGCUGUCUCCACCCGAGACUCAGUGAAAUUGAACUCGCUGUGAAGAUGCAGUGUACCCGCGGCAAGACGGAAAGACCCCGUGAACCUUUACUAUAGCUUGACACUGAACAUUGAGCCUUGAUGUGUAGGAUAGGUGGGAGGCUUUGAAGUGUGGACGCCAGUCUGCAUGGAGCCGACCUUGAAAUACCACCCUUUAAUGUUUGAUGUUCUAACGUGGACCCGUAAUCCGGGUUGCGGACAGUGUCUGGUGGGUAGUUUGACUGGGGCGGUCUCCUCCUAAAGAGUAACGGAGGAGCACGAAGGUUGGCUAAUCCUGGUCGGACAUCAGGAGGUUAGUGCAAUGGCAUAAGCCAGCUUGACUGCGAGCGUGACGGCGCGAGCAGGUGCGAAAGCAGGUCAUAGUGAUCCGGUGGUUCUGAAUGGAAGGGCCAUCGCUCAACGGAUAAAAGGUACUCCGGGGAUAACAGGCUGAUACCGCCCAAGAGUUCAUAUCGACGGCGGUGUUUGGCACCUCGAUGUCGGCUCAUCACAUCCUGGGGCUGAAGUAGGUCCCAAGGGUAUGGCUGUUCGCCAUUUAAAGUGGUACGCGAGCUGGGUUUAGAACGUCGUGAGACAGUUCGGUCCCUAUCUGCCGUGGGCGCUGGAGAACUGAGGGGGGCUGCUCCUAGUACGAGAGGACCGGAGUGGACGCAUCACUGGUGUUCGGGUUGUCAUGCCAAUGGCACUGCCCGGUAGCUAAAUGCGGAAGAGAUAAGUGCUGAAAGCAUCUAAGCACGAAACUUGCCCCGAGAUGAGUUCUCCCUGAGACUUAGAGUCUCCUGAAGGAACGUUGAAGACGACGACGUUGAUAGGCCGGGUGUGUAAGCGCAGCGAUGCGUUGAGCUAACCGGUACUAAUGAACCGUGAGGCUUAACCUU
rnacentral:rRNA from 3 species